UAAUACGGAGGGUGCGAACGUUAAUCGGAAUUACUGGGCGUAAAGCGCGCGCAGGCGGUUGAUUAAGUGGGAUGUGAAAGCCCCGGGCUUAACCUGGGAACUGCAUUCCAAACUGAUCGACUAGAGUACGAGAGAGGGGGGUAGAAUUCAGAGUGUAGCGGUGAAAUGCGUAGAUAUUCUGAGGAAUACCGGUGGCGAAGGCGGCCCCCUGGCUUGAUACUGACGCUCAGGUGCGAAAGCGUGGGGAGCAAACAGGAUUAGAUACCCUGGUAGUCCACGCCGUAAACGAUGUCUACUAGCCGUUGGGGGGCUUGUCCCUUUAGUGGCGUAGCUAACGCGAUAAGUAGACCGCCUGGGGAGUACGGUCGCAAGAUUA
rnacentral:rRNA from 1 species